CAGUCGAGCGGUAAGGCCUUUCGGGGUACACGAGCGGCGAACGGGUGAGUAACACGUGGGUGAUCUGCCCUGCACUCUGGGAUAAGCUUGGGAAACUGGGUCUAAUACCGGAUAUGACCGCAUGCCGCAUGGUGUGUGGUGGAAAGAUUUAUCGGUGCAGGAUGGGCCCGCGGCCUAUCAGCUUGUUGGUGGGGUAANGGCCUACCAAGGCGACGACGGGUAGCCGACCUGAGAGGGUGACCGGCCACACUGGGACUGAGACACGGCCCAGACUCCUACGGGAGGCAGCAGUGGGGAAUAUUGCACAAUGGGCGGAAGCCUGAUGCAGCGACGCCGCGUGAGGGAUGAAGGCCUUCGGGUUGUAAACCUCUUUCAGCAGGGACGAAGCGUGAGUGACGGUACCUGCAGAAGAAGCACCGGCUAACUACGUGCCAGCAGCCGCGGUAAUACGUAGGGUGCGAGCGUUGUCCGGAAUUACUGGGCGUAAAGAGUUCGUAGGCGGUUUGUCGCGUCGUUUGUGAAAACCCGGGGCUCAACUUCGGGCUUGCAGGCGAUACGGGCAGACUUGAGUGUUUCAGGGGAGACUGGAAUUCCUGGUGUAGCGGUGAAAUGCGCAGAUAUCAGGAGGAACACCGGUGGCGAAGGCGGGUCUCUGGGAAACAACUGACGCUGAGGAACGAAAGCGUGGGUAGCAAACAGGAUUAGAUACCCUGGUAGUCCACGCCGUANACGGUGGGCGC
rnacentral:rRNA from 1 species